rnacentral:tRNA from 1 species
UAUGGGAGAGCGAAGAUUUGCGUUUGGUUUCGGCCCAAGUUUUAAAGUAAUACUUUUUCUAUAA